ensembl:miRNA
GUAUUAGGCUGGUGCAAAAGUAAUUUCAGUUUUGCUAUCACUUUCAAUUGCAAAAACUGCAAUCACUUUUGCACCAACCU